UGGGGUGUGGCUCAGAGGUAGAGUGUGCGCCUAGCAUGUGUGAGGCACUGGGUUCGAUCCUCAGCACCACAU
rnacentral:tRNA from 1 species